AUGAAGCUGGAAUUGCUAGUAAUGGCAGGUCAGCAUACUGCCGUGAAUACGUUCCCGGGCCUUGUACACACCGCCCGUCACACCAUGAGAGUUGGAAAUACCCGGAGCCUGUGAGCUAACUUAAAGAGGCAGCAGUCGAAGGUAGAGCCAAUGAUUGGGGUGAAGUCGUAACAAGGUAUC
rnacentral:rRNA from 1 species